rnacentral:lncRNA from 1 species
UUUUUUUUUUCUAUUUUUUUAUUAUUUUCUCUAUCAUUUUUUUACUUCAUCUCUUAUUCUCGAACCCCUUUAUUUAUAGGUAUUUUUUUUCUUUUUCUGGUAGAAAUCAGAGUCCUAAAAUCUCAUAAAAAUGUGUCCAACCCGCAUCUCUUGCUUCUGGCCAUCGGAUCUUGCAUCAACACUCUAGAUCAGUCUAAAAGAUCACCGCA